UUGGAGGGCAAGUCUGGUGCCAGCAGCCGCGGUAGUUCCAGCUCCAAUAGCGUAUAUUAAAGUUGUUGCAGUUAAAAAGCUCAUAGUUGAAUUUCGGGGUUCUACCGUUGGUCGGGCUAUUGUCUGUACUGGCGUGUAGAAUUUCUACCUUCUGGGGAACUAUCAUGUUAUUAAUUUAGCGUGGUAGGAAACCAGGACCUUUACCUUGAAAAAAUUAGAGUGUUCAAAGCAGGCUUAUGUCUGAAUACAUUAGCAUGGAAUAAUAAAAUAGGACGGUGGUCCUGUUUUGUUGGUUUCUGAAUCACCGUAAUGAUUAAUAGGGAUAGUUGGGGGCAUUAGUAUUCAAUUGUCAGAGGUGAAAUUCUUGGAUUUAUUGAAGACUAACUACUGCGAAAGCAUUUGCCAAGGAUGUUUUCAUUAAUCAAGAACGAAAGUUAGGGGAUCGAAGACGAUCAGAUACCGUCGUAGUCUUAACCAUAAACUAUGCCGACUAGGGAUCGGACGAUGUUAACUUUUCUUGACUCGUUCGGCGCCUUACGGGAAAC
rnacentral:rRNA from 1 species